CGCCAGACUCCUACGGGAGGCAGCAGUGGGGAAUAUUGCACAAUGGGGGGAACCCUGAUGCAGCAAUGCCGCGUGGGUGAAGAAGCGCUCCGGUGCGUAAAGCCCUGUCAGCAGGGAAGAAAAUGACAGUACCUGACCAAGAAGCCCCGGCUAACUACGUGCCAGCAGCCGCGGUAAUACGUAGGGGGCAAGCGUUAUCCGGAUUUACUGGGUGUAAAGGGUGCGUAGGUGGCAUGGCAAGUCAGAAGUGAAAGCCCGGGGCUCAACCCCGCGGACUGCUUUUGAAACUGUCAGGCUGGAGUACAGGAGAGGUAAGCGGAAUUCCUGGUGUAGCGGUGAAAUGCGUAGAUAUCAGGAGGAACACCGGUGGCGAAGGCGGCCUGCUGGACUGCAACUGACGUUGAGGCCCGAAAGCGUGGAGAGCAAACAGGAUUAGAUACCCGGGUACU
rnacentral:rRNA from 1 species